rnacentral:rRNA from 1 species
GGGGACAACCCGCCGAAAGGCGGGCUAAACCCGCGUACAUGCCACCGGGGCAUCCCGGAGGCAGGAAAGGCUUCGGCCGGACAGGGAUGGGCAUGCGGCGCAUUAGGCAGUAGGCGGGGCAACGGCCCACCUAACCGACGAUGCGUAGGGGUUCUGAGAGGAAGGUCCCCCACACUGGUACUGAGACACGGACCAGACUCCUACGGGAGGCAGCAGUGAGGAAUAUUGGUCAAUGGUCGGGAGACUGAACCAGCCAAGCCGCGUGAGGGAUGAAGGUACAGAGUAUCGUAAACCUCUUUUGUCAGGGAACAAAGGCGGGGACGUGUCCCCGGAUGAGUGUACCUGAAGAAAAAGCAUCGGCUAACUCCGUGCCAGCAGCCGCGGUAAUACGGAGGAUGCGAGCGUUAUCCGGAUUUAUUGGGUUUAAAGGGUGCGCAGGCGGUCUGUCAAGUCAGCGGUCAAAGCCCGGGGCUCAACCCCGGCCCGCCGUUGAAACUGGCAGUCUCGAGUUGGAGAGAAGUAUGCGGAAUGCGCGGUGUAGCGGUGAAAUGCAUAGAUAUCGCGCAGAACUCCGAUUGCGAAGGCAGCAUGCCGGCUCCACACUGACGCUGAGGCACGAAAGCGUGGGUAUCGAACAGGAUUAGAUACCCUGGUAGUCCACGCAGUAAACGAUGAA